rnacentral:miRNA from 1 species
UGUGUGUGUGUGUGUGUGUGUGUAUAUAUAUAUAUGUGUGUGUGUGUGUGUGUAUAUAUAUAUAUAUAUAUACACACACACACACACACACACA